UCCGUAGGCGGUGCGGCAAGUCGGGGGUGAAAUCUCUGGGCUUAACUCAGAGGCUGCCUCCGAAACUGCCGUGCUCGAGUGUGGGAGAGGCGAGCGGAAUUGCAGGUGUAGCGGUGAAAUGCGUAGAUAUCUGCAGGAACACCCGUGGCGAAGGCGGCUCGCUGGACCAUUACUGACGCUGAGGGACGAAAGCUAGGGGAGCAAACAGGAUUAGAUACCCUGGUAGUCCUAGCCCUAAACGAUCAGGACUUGGGGUGUCUCCCGUUCGGGAGACGUCCCGGAGCUAACGCGUUAAGUCCUGCGCCUGGGGAGUACGGUCGCAAGACUGAA
rnacentral:rRNA from 1 species